rnacentral:rRNA from 1 species
GGGUUGUGAGGUUAAGCGACUAAGCGUACACGGUGGAUGCCCUGGCAGUCAGAGGCGAUGAAGGACGUGCUAAUCUGCGAUAAGCGUCGGUAAGGUGAUAUGAACCGUUAUAACCGGCGAUUUCCGAAUGGGGAAACCCAGUGUGAUUCGUCACACUAUCAUUGCGUGAAUACAUAGCGUAAUGAAGCGAACCGGGGGAACUGAAACAUCUAAGUACCCCGAGGAAAAGAAAUCAACCGAGAUUCCCCCAGUAGCGGCGAGCGAACGGGGAGCAGCCCAGAGUCUGAAUCAGCAUGUGUGGUAGUGGAACGGUCUGGAAAGUCCGNCGUGAAUACAUAGCGUAAUGAAGCGAACCGGGGGAACUGAAACAUCUAAGUACCCCGAGGAAAAGAAAUCAACCGAGAUUCCCCCAGUAGCGGCGAGCGAACGGGGAGCAGCCCAGAGUCUGAAUCAGCAUGUGUGGUAGUGGAACGGUCUGGAAAGUCCGGCGAUACAGGGUGAUAGCCCCGUACACAAAAGUGCAUGUGUUGUGAACUCGAAGAGUAGGGCGGGACACGUGGUAUCCUGUCUGAAUAUGGGGGGACCAUCCUCCAAGGCUAAAUACUCCUGACUGACCGAUAGUGAACCAGUACCGUGAGGGAAAGGCGAAAAGAACCCCGGCGAGGGGAGNCCUCCAAGGCUAAAUACUCCUGACUGACCGAUAGUGAACCAGUACCGUGAGGGAAAGGCGAAAAGAACCCCGGCGAGGGGAGUGAAAAAGAACCUGAAACCGUGUACGUACAAGCAGUGGGAGCCUCUUUAUGGGGUGACUGCGUACCUUUUGUAUAAUGGGUCAGCGACUUAUAUUCUGUAGCAAGGUUAACCGCAUAGGGGAGCCGAAGGGAAACCGAGUCUUAACUGGGCGUUAAGUUGCAGGGUAUAGACCCGAAACCCGGUGAUCUAGCCAUGGGCAGGUUGAAGGUUGGGUAACACUAACUGGAGGACCGAACCGACUAAUGUUGAAAAAUUAGCGGAUGACUUGUGGCUGGGGGNAUAGGGGAGCCGAAGGGAAACCGAGUCUUAACUGGGCGUUAAGUUGCAGGGUAUAGACCCGAAACCCGGUGAUCUAGCCAUGGGCAGGUUGAAGGUUGGGUAACACUAACUGGAGGACCGAACCGACUAAUGUUGAAAAAUUAGCGGAUGACUUGUGGCUGGGGGUGAAAGGCCAAUCAAACCGGGAGAUAGCUGGUUCUCCCCGAAAGCUAUUUAGGUAGCGCCUCGUGAAUUCAUCUUCGGGGGUAGAGCACUGUUUCGGCUAGGGGGUCAUCCCGACUUACCAACCCGAUGCAAACUGCGAAUACCGAAGAAUGUUAUCACGGGAGACACACGGCGGGUGCUAACGUCCGUCGUGAAGAGGGAAACAACCCAGACCGCCAGCUAAGGUCCCAAAGUCAUGGUUAAGUGGGAAACGAUGUGGGAAGGCACAGACAGCCAGGAUGUUGGCUUAGAAGCAGCCAUCAUUUAAAGAAAGCGUAAUAGCUCACUGGUCGAGUCGGCCUGCGCGGAAGAUGUAACGGGGCUAAACCAUGCACCGAAGCUGCGGCAGCGACACUAUGUGUUGUUGGGUAGGGGAGCGUUCUGUAAGCCGUUGAAGGUGGCCUGUGAGGGUUGCUGGAGGUAUCAGAAGUGCGAAUGCUGACAUAAGUAACGAUAAUGCGGGUGAAAAACCCGCACGCCGGAAGACCAAGGGUUCCUGUCCAACGUUAAUCGGGGCAGGGUGAGUCGACCCCUAAGGCGAGGCCGAAAGGCGUAGUCGAUGGGAAACAGGUUAAUAUUCCUGUACUUGGUGUUACUGCGAAGGGGGGACGGAGAAGGCUAUGUUAGCCGGGCGACGGUUGUCCCGGUUUAAGCAUGUAGGCGGAGAUUCCAGGUAAAUCCGGAAUCUUGUUAACGCUGAGGUGUGAUGACGAGGCACUACGGUGCUGAAGUAACAAAUGCCCUGCUUCCAGGAAAAGCCUCUAAGCAUCAGGUAACACGAAAUCGUACCCCAAACCGACACAGGUGGUCAGGUAGAGAAUACCAAGGCGCUUGAGAGAACUCGGGUGAAGGAACUAGGCAAAAUGGUGCCGUAACUUCGGGAGAAGGCACGCUGAUAUGUAGGUGAAGUGAUUUACUCAUGGAGCUGAAAUCAGUCGAAGAUACCAGCUGGCUGCAACUGUUUAUUAAAAACACAGCACUGUGCAAACACGAAAGUGGACGUAUACGGUGUGACGCCUGCCCG